UCCGGCGCCCUCCAGUGUUUGUGCGCCUCGCCCUGGGCGCGUGUUCGCGCCUGCGCACUGCCGCCUCGCCGCAGCCGUUUCCUGUCGGUGCCCCGGUCGCCGCUGGCCUUCGUUCCCAGGCUCUGGCCUCCGGCUGGCGAGGGUUCUGGGGCCUGCGGGGCUGGGCGCCGUCCGGCGGGGCCUGCACCCAGCGGGUGCGGGCUGUGCGGGCGAGGGUUCGCGCGGGCCGGGUGGAGGCUCGAGCGGGGACUUCCGAGCUCGAGCCCCGGAGCCCCCGGCCUGGGCAGGAGGGGCUGAGGGGCCAGGCGGGCAGGGGCGGCCGGGCCCGGGCCCGACCGUCUGUAGCGCGCGGGACGGUGAGGUCCCUGGAGGUCGACUUAGGCCUCAGGAAGGGAAGUUCUCCUGAAGGGAGCUUGUCCCCUAGGCCCAGAGUCGGCUCCUCGAGCCCAGCGACCUCGAGAAGCGGAGAGGAGGGACCCCGGGAGAGGCACUCGCCGGAGGAGCCACCCCCGGCCUGGAGCUUCGGGAGCCCCGGGCGGGUCAGCGAGUCCCGACAGGUGGGCCUCCACUUUCACAGCCCUGCAUGUUUUUCCAAGAGCAGCAGAAAAUGAAUCAAUCUCUGG
rnacentral:lncRNA from 1 species